UACGAACUGUGCGAACGUUAUUCGGAAUCACUGGGCUUACAGGGUGCGUAGGCGGCUUGUUAAGUCGGGUGUGAAAGCCCCCGGCUCAACCGGGGAAUGGCGCCCUAAACUGGCGAGCUGGAGUGAGAUAGGGGUGUGCGGAACUUCCGGUGGAGCGGUGAAAUGUGUUGAUAUCGGAAGGAACGCCGGUGGCGAAAGCGGCACACUGGAUCUCAACUGACGCUGAGGCACGAAAGCCAGGGGAGCGAACGGG
rnacentral:rRNA from 1 species